rnacentral:tRNA from 1 species
AUUUAAAUAGCUUAUUGAGAGCGUAGUAUUGAAGAUACUAAGGAAGUAUAAUUAUUUUUAAAUA